UUAUUGCACAUUGGGCGCAAGCCUGAUGCAGCCAGGCCGCGUGUGUGAAGAAGGCCUUCGGGUUGUAAAGCACUUUCAGCGGGGAGGAAGGCGUUAAGGUUAAUAACCUUGGCGAUUGACGUUACUCGCAGAAGAAGCACCGGCUAACUCCGUGCCAGCAGCCGCGGUAAUACGGAGGGUGCAAGCGUUAAUCGGAAUUACUGGGCGUAAAGCGCACGCAGGCGGUCUGUCAAGUCGGAUGUGAGAUCCCCGGGCUCAACCUGGGAACUGCAUUCGAAACUGGCAGGCUAGAGUCUUGUAGAGGGGGGUAGAAUUCCAGGUGUAGCGGUGAAAUGCGUAGAGAUAUGGAGGAAUACCGGUGGCGAAGGCGGCCCCCUGGACAAAGACUGACGCUCAGGUGCGAAAGCGUGGGGAGCAAAC
rnacentral:rRNA from 1 species